GAGACAGUAGUGUAGUGGUAUCAUCGGGCGUUUGGGACGCUCUUACGCCGGUUCGACUCCGGCCUGUCUCA
rfam:Halorubrum phage HF2, complete genome.